rnacentral:misc_RNA from 1 species
AAAAGUCGUAACAAGGUCUCCGUAGGUGAACCUGCGGAGGGAUCAUUACACAACAAAAAUAUGAGGGUGUGGUUUGCUGGCAACAGCGUCCGCCCCAAGUAUUUUUCACCCAUGUCUUUUGCGCACUUUUUGUUUCCUGGGCGAGUUCGCUCGCCACCAGGACCCAACUAUAAACCUUUUUUUAUGCAGUUGCAAUCAGCGUCAGUAUAAUAAUUCAAUUUAUUAAAACUUUCAACAACGGAUCUCUUGGUUCUGGCAUCGAUGAAGAACGCAGCGAAAUGCGAUACGUAGUGUGAAUUGCAGAAUUCAGUGAAUCAUCGAAUCUUUGAACGCACAUUGCGCCCUUUGGUAUUCCAAAGGGCAUGCCUGUUCGAGCGUCAUUUGUACUCUCAAGCUUUGCUUGGUGUUGGGCGUCUUUUUGUCUCUCCCCUCGUUGGGGGAGACUCGCCUUAAAACGAUUGGCAGCCGACCUACUGGUUUUCGGAGCGCAGCACAAAUUUGCGCCUUCCAAUCCACGGGGCGGCGUCCAGCAAGCCUUUGUUAUUCUAUAACAAAUCCACAUUUUGACCUCGGAUCAGGUAGGGAUACCCGCUGAACUUAAGCAUAUCAAUAG